GGCGACGCUGAAUGCCCACUUCCUGUUUUCGCCUUUGAGCCUGCGAAGCCAAGCCGUCCCCACGGAUCCCUCUCCUCUCUUUGUCCUGGGAUGGUUGGACACCAGUUCCCCAUUCGUUGCAGUCCCCAUUGAGAAAUGAAGAAAGGCCAAAUCAUUCAUCAGCGCACAGGUUGCUGUCCUCUGAAGAUGCCGGCCACAGAGACUGGUGAAACGUUAGGAAGAACAACCUU